rnacentral:rRNA from 1 species
AGAGUUUGAUCCUAGCUCAGGAUGAACGCUGGCGGCAUGCCUAAUACAUGCAAGUCGAACGAGGGUCCUUCGGGACUCGAGUGGCGAACGGGUGAGUAACACGUAGGGAACCUGCCCGUGCGACCGGGAGAACUUUCGGAAACGGAAGCUGAUACCGGAUAGGGACAGAGACGGCAUCGACUCUGUGUUAAAGGAGCUGAAAGGCUCCGCGCACGGAUGGACCUGCGGUGCAUUAGCUAGUUGGUGAGGUAACGGCCCACCAAGGCGACGAUGCAUAGCCGGCCUGAGAGGGCGGACGGCCACACUGGGACUGAGACACGGCCCAGACUCCUACGGGAGGCAGCAGUAGGGAAUUUUCGUCAAUGGGCGCAAGCCUGAACGAGCAAUGCCGCGUGAACGAGGAAGGUCUUCGGAUCGUAAAGUUCUGUUGAAGGGGAAAAAGAGCGGAGAGAGGAAAUGAACUCCGAUUGAUAUUACCCUUCGAGGAAGUCACGGCUAACUACGUGCCAGCAGCCGCGGUAAUACGUAGGUGGCGAGCGUUAUCCGGAAUGAUUGGGCGUAAAGGGUGCGUAGGCGGCCUGCUAAGUCUGGAGUGAAAGGUACCGGCUCAACCGGUACAGGCUCUGGAAACUGGCGGGCUAGAGAGCAGGAGAGGGCGGUGGAACUCCAUGUGUAGCGGUAAAAUGCGUAGAUAUAUGGAAGAACACCAGUGGCGAAGGCGGCCGCCUGGCCUGUUACUGACGCUGAGGCACGAAAGCGUGGGGAGCAAAUAGGAUUAGAUACCCUAGUAGUCCACGCCGUAAACGAUGAGGACCAAGUGUUGGGGGAAGACCCAGUGCUGCAGUUAACGCAGUGAGUCCUCCGCCUGGGGAGUAUGCACGCAAGUGUGAAACUCAAAGGAAUUGACGGGGGCCCGCACAAGCGGUGGAGUAUGUGGUUUAAUUCGAAGCAACGCGAAGAACCUUACCAGGCCUUGACAUAGGGUGCGAAGCUAUGGAGACAUAGUGGAGGUAAACAUCCAUACAGGUGGUGCAUGGUUGUCGUCAGCUCGUGUCGUGAGAUGUUCAGUUAAGUCUGGCAACGAGCGCAACCCUCGUGAUGUGUUACCAAUAUCGAGUUAGGGACUCACAUCAGACUGCCGGUGAGAAACCGGAGGAAGGCGGGGAGGACGUCAAAUCAUCAUGCCCCUUAUGGCCUGGGCUACACACGUACUACAAUGGCGGCGACAGAGGGCAGCGAGCCUGCGAAGGCAAGCGAAUCCCCAAAAAGCCGUCCCAGUUCGGAUUGGAGUCUGCAACCCGACUCCAUGAAGUUGGAAUCGCUAGUAAUCGCGGAUCAGCAUGCCGCGGUGAAUACGUUCUCGGGCCUUGCACACACCGCCCGUCAA